GUGUUAAAAUUCUUUAUUGCGAUCAUUUUAAUGUUAAUCGUGUGUCUGAAUUUACAUUGUCGUCCAAGCCUAUUUUUGGUGAAACAGUUAGUAUUUUGAGUGCCUUGACUGAACUGUUUUGGUUUUUCUAAGAUGAACGAGAACAUUCCUGAGUAUUCAGAUGAACUUUUUGACAGUGAGAGCAGUGUGGAAGACAACGGUACACAUUCUACUAAGGUCAGAAAAUUGGAGCACACUUGGAAAACACUAAGAAAACGACCAAGUUGCCAUAGCAAGUUACAGUGGACAGCGACUCGGAAGAACCUGAAAGCUGUAUGACAGAGUGUGAUGACCUUAUGCCAUUACCACAAGACCAUGCAGAGCAAGCUGCCGAGGAGAGAGACGAAGUGCAGAGGUCAAAAAAAAAUGUGAGGGGCGGUGAUGCACCUUCUUCCUUACCACAAGAAAAUGCAGGGCAAAAUGACGGUGAGACAGAUCAAUUGCCGAGGUCCAGUAAAAGAAAGAAAGGUCCCUUCAAGAGAACACCCUGGACCAAUAAUGAAAUCUGUGCUGUGGAGAAACAUAUGAUGACGUUUAUCCAAAGGUGGAAGGUACCAGGAAAAGCUGAAUGUGAUCACUGCAUAGCAGCUGAACCAUUGGCACUUCAAAACAGAGACUGGUUGGCUGUUAAAUUCUAUAUAAAAAAUCGCAUCACAGCAUUACAAAAGGUUUAAGGCUUAGUUGGCAAAGGCCAGGUCUUAAGGGUCUUUUUUGUUUUUUGUUUUGUUGGCUUCUUUGUUAAUUAUUUGUUUAUAUAAUGUUUUUGAUUGGAUGCACAGUAACUGUGUAGAACCAGAUUGUUCUUGAAUGGUUAGAAAAAUUUCAUCUUCUGUUGGCAAAGUUGCCAUUUUGUGUUCAGUUAUUCGUGGCAGGCCCCCAGCAGUUAUCCCAUAUUCCUUCUUUUUUGUCCUGUAGAGCCCCAUUUAUUUCCGGCCACACCCAAACCACUCAUACUCAAUACUGACCCACACUGCUCCAUUCAUUCCUAAUGUCUCCCAUAGCUCUUGUUCUCUUCAAGAAAUGCACUUUUGGUGUAUCUUAUUCACCUUUGCUUAUGUGUAUUGCAAAAUGCAUACUAGCAUAUAUUUUCGAUUGCUAUAUAUAUGCUAAAUGUUCUGAAGAUUUCCAAGACAAUAAACAAGUAUUUAUUGUA